UUUAGAAUUAGAGAGUGAUGAUAGCGAGCAAGAGAAUGACACGACGUCAACUCCAGAAACAGUGACAAAAUGGCUCCUUCUUUUGUGGUCGUUGAGUUCCUUGGUGAACAUUCAGUCGCUGUUGUCCCAACCAAAUGGACAGAAGAUGAUGGAAAGAAUACCUUCUGCUAUUGGCCAAGGCCAAAUCCUACCCACUCCAGAAUCCGGAAAGCUGAAGUUCCUGACAAACAAUUCUGGGAGAGGCUGCCAAUUCGGGUUUUCAGGAAAACAUUGACUGCGAGUACCAGACCACUUCAGCCAGUACCAGCCAAUACCAGACCACUCCAAGGCAUCCAGGCCGACCUCACAGC